rnacentral:rRNA from 1 species
AGAUUGAACGCUGGCGGCAGGCCUAACACAUGCAAGUCGAGCGGUAGAGAGGUGCUUGCACCUCUUGAGAGCGGCGGACGGGUGAGCAAUGCCUAGGAAUCUGCCUAGUGGUGGGGGAUAACGUUCGGAAACGGACGCUAAUACCGCAUACGUCCUACGGGAGAAAGCGGGGGACCUUCGGGCCUCGCGCCAUUAGAUGAGCCUAGGUCGGAUUAGCUAGUUGGUGAGGUAAUGGCUCACCAAGGCGACGAUCCGUAACUGGUCUGAGAGGAUGAUCAGUCACACUGGAACUGAGACACGGUCCAGACUCCUACGGAGGCAGCAGUGGGGAAUAUUGGACAAUGGGCGAAAGCCUGAUCCAGCCAUGCCGCGUGUGUGAAGAAGGUCUUCGGAUUGUAAAGCAACUUUAAGUUGGAGGAAGGUUGUAACUUAAUACGUUAGCAACUUUGACGUUACCGACAGAAUAAGCACCGGCUAACUUCGUGCCAGCAGCCGA